AUUGAACGCUGGCGGCAGGCCUAACACAUGCAAGUCGAACGAGUGGCGGACGGGUGAGUAAUGUCUGGGAAACUGCCUGAUGGAGGGGGAUAACUACUGUAACCGGUAACUAAUACCGCAUAGCAUCAGAUGUGCCCAGAUGGGAUUAGCUGGUUGGUGGGGUAACGGCUCACCAAGGCUACGAUCCCUAGCUGGUCUGAGAGGAUGACAGGCCACACUGGAACGGAGACACGGUCCAGACUCCUACGGGAGGCAGCAGUGGGGAAGAUGGCACAAGGGGCGCAAGCCUGAUGCAGCCAUGGCGCGGGUAUGAAGAAGGCCUUCGGGUUGUAAAGUACGUUCAGCGGGUAGGCGUUACCCGCAGAAGAAGCACCGGCUAACUACGUGCCAGCAGCCGCGGUAAUAC
rnacentral:rRNA from 1 species